CAAGUCGAGCGGCAGCGGGAAGAUAGCUUAGCUAUCUUUGCCGGCGAGCGGCGGACGGGUGAGUAAUGCCUAGGGAUCUGCCCAGUCGAGGGGGAUAACAGUUGGAAACGACUGCUAAUACCGCAUACGCCCUACGGGGGAAAGGAGGGGACCUUCGGGCCUUCCGCGAUUGGAUGAACCUAGGUGGGAUUAGCUAGUUGGUGAGGUAAUGGCUCACCAAGGCGACGAUCCCUAGCUGUUCUGAGAGGAUGAUCAGCCACACUGGGACUGAGACACGGCCCAGACUCCUACGGGAGGCAGCAGUGGGGAAUAUUGCACAAUGGGGGAAACCCUGAUGCAGCCAUGCCGCGUGUGUGAAGAAGGCCUUCGGGUUGUAAAGCACUUUCAGUAGGGAGGAAAGGUAGCAGCUUAAUACGCUGUUGCUGUGACGUUACCUACAGAAGAAGGACCGGCUAACUCCGUGCCAGCAGCCGCGGUAAUACGGAGGGUCCGAGCGUUAAUCGGAAUUACUGGGCGUAAAGCGUGCGCAGGCGGUUUGUUAAGCGAGAUGUGAAAGCCCCGGGCUCAACCUGGGAAAUUGCAUUUCGAACUGGCGAACUAGAGUCUUGUAGAGGGGGGUAGAAUUCCAGGUGUACCGGUGAAAAUGCGUAGAGAUCUGGAGGAAUACCGGUGGCGAAGGCCGCCCCCUGGACCAAAGACUGACGCUCAUGCACGAAAGCGUGGGGGAGCAAACAGCAUAAAAUACCCCUGGUUAGUCUACGCUCGUAAACGAUGUCU
rnacentral:rRNA from 1 species